rnacentral:rRNA from 1 species
ACCUCGGAUCAGGUAGGAAUACCCGCUGAACUUAAGCAUAUCAAUAAGCGGAGGAAAAGAAACCAACAGGGAUUGCCCCAGUAACGGCGAGUGAAGCGGCAACAGCUCAAAUUUGAAAUCUGGCCCCUAGGGUCCGAGUUGUAAUUUGUAGAGGAUGCUUUUGGUGAGGUGCCGCCCGAGUUCCCUGGAACGGGACGCCACAGAGGGUGAGAGCCCCGUCUGGCUGGCCACCGAGCCUCUGUAAAGCUCCUUCGACGAGUCGAGUAGUUUGGGAAUGCUGCUCAAAAUGGGAGGUAUAUGUCUUCUAAAGCUAAAUAUUGGCCAGAGACCGAUAGCGCACAAGUAGAGUGAUCGAAAGAUGAAAAGCACCUUGAAAAGAGGGUUAAAUAGUACGUGAAAUUGUUGAAAGGGAAGCGCUUGUGACCAGACUUGGGCGCGGCGGAUCAUCCGGGGUUCUCUCCGGUGCACUUCGCCGCGUCUAGGCCAGCAUCAGUUCGUCGCGGGGGAAAAAGGCUUCGGGAACGUGGCUCCUCCGGGAGUGUUAUAGCCCGUUGCAUANAUACC